UACGUAGGGAGCAAGCGUUGUCCGGAAUCAUUGGGCGUAAAGCGCGCGUAGGCGGCCCGGUCAGUCCGUCGUGAAAGUCAAAGGCUCAACCUUUGAAUGUCGAUGGAUACUGCCGGGCUAGAGUCCGGAAGAGGCGAGUGGAAUUCCUGGUGUAGCGGUGGAAUGCGCAGAUAUCAGGAGGAACACCGAUAGCGAAGGCAGCUCGCUGGGACGGUACUGACGCUAAGGCGCGAAAGCGUGGGGAGCGAACAGG
rnacentral:rRNA from 1 species